rnacentral:rRNA from 1 species
GACGAACGCUGGCGGCGUGCUUAACACAUGCAAGUCGAACGCGCCUGUCCUCCGGGUUUCUGGGGGGUGGGUGAGUGGCGAACGGGUGAGUAACACGUGAGUAACCUGCCCCCUUCUUCGGGAUAACGGUCUGAAAGGGCUGCUAAUACCGGGUAUUCACUGGUCUCCGCAUGGGGUCUGGUGGAAAGGUUUUUUUCUGGUGGGGGAUGGGCUCGCGGCCUAUCAGCUUGUUGGUGGGGUGAUGGCCCACCAAGGCUUUGACGGGUAGCCGGCCUGAGAGGGUGACCGGUCACAUUGGGACUGAGGUACGGCCCAGACUCCUACGGGAGGCAGCAGUGGGGAAUAUUGCGCAAUGGGCGCGAGCCUGAUGCAGCGACGCCGCGUGAGGGAUGGGGGCCUUCGGGUUGUGAACCUCUUUCGCCCGUGGUCAAGCCGCGACGUGGGUCGUGGUGAGGGUAGUGGGUAAAGAAGCGCCGGCUAACUACGUG